CCUAUACAUGAAGGGAGAGAGGGAGGCUGGGAUAUGUAAACUGCCCUACUUUUCAUUGUUAUCGGAGCUUUACCUUUUUUAUAUAUAUUAUGUUUGAUCUAGAUUUGAUGGUUUUUCUUUUUCGUUAGUGUCUUUGUCCAUGGACAUCACUGUUGGAUUUGUUGUUGUGUAUCUGUGCCACUUGGGUUUGUCACCGACAUCUGUACCUUGUGCAUGAUAGAGAGAGAGAGAGAAAGACAAGUGAACCUGCCAUAAGACCAGUGAGUGGAUGUUGAUGAUAAGAAAGAGGGAGAGAAGGGGUUCUUCUUCUACUUCUUUCUUUGAUUCUUCUUUCAACGUUUUGGGUUUUGGUUUGUGAGAGAAAUAAAACCCUUUUUCUGGACACGUAGUUGGUUCUAAUACUGAAAACGGCAUGGAUCGUCGAUUUUGAGGUUUUUAACUUUUGGUAACUUUUCCCUAAAUGGGGGUGUUACUGUGUUUUUCAGAUCUGACUCAUUCCUUUUCUUCGUUUUUCUUUCCGUAAUUUUUAUUUUUGGGGUUCAUUUGUUUUCCUUAUUGGUAAGCAGGUUUUACCUUUCAUCAUCAUCUUCAUGAUCUGUGUAAUCUCUCAUUCAUGGAACAUAGAAAUUGACAGAAGAGAGUGAGCACACAAAGGCACAUGUAUAAGCGCAUACUUUGCUUUUGCGUGCUCACUUCUCUUUCUGUCAGCUUCCAGUGCCGGAAUUUGAUCCAUCUUUUUUGGUCACUUCUCCGCCUGUUUUGUUCCUCCAUUUCUAUCUCUCUCUCAUGGUCGGUCUCGUCGAAGACAAGGAAUAUGGUGAGUGGUGUGCCUUGCCAUGCCAUGCCUUGCGAUGAUCUGACUGUUUCCUUUCUCAAUUUAUGCUUUCUUUUUUUUAAUGCGAUUAGUAGGCUUUUUGAUGUUAUUCACUGUUGUGGUACGCCUGGUUACUGUGCGGAUAUAGCGGCAAAAACUAUGAAUAGCAUGGGACCAUUCACGUUAUCCAUUUCCUAUUAGUAGCUAAGCCUAGUUGCUUGGAAUCUCUAAGUGGAAAAUGGAGUUUUGUAUUCCUUGGUUUAAUUUAACCCUACCCUUUCUCAGAGAUGGUCAAAUUAUGGGAUCCUCAAAUGUCAGCCUGUCUGCAAAUAUCCAGAGACAAUUCCGAUCGGUGUUUCCUUAAUGUAUACAUUGCAAAUAUCAAUUAUAGGUAGACUGCAUUUAAAUAGACUCAUGUUUAAUGUUUUCAGACUACUGUUAGCAUUAAUUUUGACAGAAGUGCAUCCAAUUAAUGUUGGUUUUUGAUACAUACAUACAUACAUACAUACAUACAUACAUACAUACAUACAAACACACACACACACAUAUAUAUGUAUCUAUAUAUAUAACUUUAUAUAAAACCUCAUCUUUCUGACUAAUUCAGACAUUGCAUUUAUGGUAUAGUUCUCAGACAUUGUAAGGCUCAAGAAUGCAAUAAUGGAUUUCUCUUAGAACUUUUAAAUUUCAAACCAUAAUAUAUUUGAAACAAUGUCAUUCAAGGUUUGUGCCUAGGCACGCCUGCCCCUUGUCCCUUAGCACUAGAAAACAGAAGUGUCUUGGACCCUUUUGGGGAGGUCCAUUUGAUCAGGCAAACCGUUUGACCAUAAGGAAAGGUAUCCAACUCUAUACUUCCCAGUGUUUGAGUGUUCAUAUAUAUGCAUAGACCAUAAGGAAAUUAUACAUAUUGACUAACAAAAAAGUUUACUAGUUUGGUAGAUAACUUAGAACACGCUUUAGAGUUCAUUACGAUUUAAUCUUCAUAUAUAUAGACACACAUAUACAUAUUGUGCUUUUGCUUACUCGGGCUAGUGCUUUUAUUGUGCCUUGUGCAUGAGGUAAAAUAAGAGUUCUGGCACCUAGAGUGCAAGAUGCACCCUUGACUACACUGAUUUGAACUUUUUAACAUUGUUGGACAUUUACAUGAAUCUAUGACAGAUUUGUUCAAUGCCAGAAUUAGCAGAAGUUCAUAUGAUGAGCUGUACUUUUAGUUCCGCACUAGAUAUCAUGUCUUGAUAGAGAUCAAUUCAUCUGCACGACAAUUGCACAAUAUGGGAGCAUGAUAGUGCUUGGAACCAUGUUGGAAUCCUUGGUUUUUUACUUCAACUUUUUCAAAGAAGAAGAUGCAACGAAAUAAAGUAUUGUACAUGGAGGUGAUGUGUGCACAUUGCAUGGCCUGAAUUCUUUCCAAUGUAAGUACUAAACUUCAACAACUAAAACCUUUUCAUUGGUGGAGUACAUUCUAAAUAUCAAUUUUAUAUAGAAAAGUUUAUAGUGCUUCA